AUGUCUGCUCUCUGCUACCAACUGUCGGCAAAGAGAGCCUGGCCGGAGCGAGAGACGGCACACACAUCGCGGUCGCGGACGGCGGCAGCGGCGAUGGGAAGCCCGCUGGGCGGCUGGCCGAGCCACAACCCGCACAACUUCAGCCAGCUCGUCCCGGCUGACCCCUCCGCCCAGCCCACGAAUGUCACACCAACAACUUACAUUGCAGCACAUAGGACAGAUCCACCUCCAAAUCAAGUGAUCACGACGGAGCCCAGGAACAUCCUGUUGAGGCAUUUCUACCAGAACUCGGAGAACAAGCCGAGGCCGAAGAGGGCCGCCCCGGAGAGUGCCUCCGUGCGCAACGGCAAGCAGGCGAGGAGCCCCGCCGAGGACGGAAGCCAGUCGAGCACGAGAAGCUGA
rnacentral:rRNA from 1 species